rnacentral:RNase_P_RNA from 1 species
AGUUCAUACCGGGCAAUUGCUUCGUAUUUAUAUGAAGAGGAAAGUCCGAACUUCAUAGAACAGAGCGCCGGGUAACGCCCGGGGGUUGUAUAAUCAAUUAUGCAACUACGGAAAGUGCCACAGAAAAUAUACCGCCUCAGUAAUGGGGUAAGGGUGAAAUGGCAGGGUAAGAGCCUACCGCUGUAAUGGUAACAUUACGGGUCCAGGUAAACCCCGCUCGAAGCAAGGUUAAAUAGGGAAACCUUCUCAUGGUCAAACAUUGAGAUAAAGUUGUUCGCUUUAAAUGGUUUCCGGGUAGACCGCUGGAGCUUUGGAGUAAUCCCUAGCCUAGACAAAUAAUUGCCGUCCUGCUUUGCAGGAUUACAGGAUUCGGCUUACAGGUAUGAACUUUGU